CCUACGGGAGGCAGCAGUAGGGAAUAUUGCUCAAUGGGGGAAACCCUGAACCAGCCACGCCGCGUGUAUGAUGAAGGUUUUCGGAUUGUAAACUCCUUUUGUUAGAGAAGAUAAUGACGUUAUCUAACGAAUAAGCACCGGCUAACUCCGUGCCAGCAGCCGCGGUCAUACGGAGGGUGCAAGCGUUACUCGGAAUCACUGGGCGUAAAGAGCGCGUAGGCGGGAUAGCAAGUCAGAUGUGAAAUCCUAUGGCUUAACCAUAGAACUGCAUUUGAAACUGUUAUUCUAGAGUAUGGGAGAGGGAGGUGGAAUUCUUGGUGUAGGGGUAAAAUCCGUAGAGAUCAAGAGGAAUACUCAUGGCGAAGGCGACCUGCUAGAACAUAACUGACGCUGAUGCGCGAAAGCGUGGGGAGCAAACAGUAUUAGAUACCCUAGUAGUC
rnacentral:rRNA from 1 species